rnacentral:lncRNA from 1 species
AUAAUAAUAACAUACAAGCUCUUUUGUUGCCAAAUUAUUCAUCACAUCAAACACAUUUAAAUGGUGCAGCAUGUUCAAGUUGUUCCCAUUGCUGAAAAUACAUACAUUACGAGUCUUAAAGGAUUACCUGGAUAACAAAAGAAUAAACAGUAGUCCAGCAACUAAAGCAGCAUAAAACCAGCAGCAAAUCCGUGUUAAAACAGCCCAAAAACAUAGAGAGGGAACCCAGAAACGAACUCUACAGAGGACUUAUACUUUUCUAAAAGUUUGCACUCUAAGAUUCACUCCCAAAGCUCACCAUUUCACCUUACUUUUCAUGUGUUCAACUGCUGAAUUUUUUUUUGUUUUUGUGUGUUCAAAGCAAUUAUCAAAAGCUCCCCUCAAAUGUGAUGGAGUCCCCCCUAUAUAUCAAAACAACCAGCUAUUUCAAAAAAUUAAAAAUCAAUCUUAUUAACAGAUUUUUCUACAAAAUUUGCUCUUAAAUUCAAAAGGCCAGACUUUCUGGUUCAAAUCUUGUCAAGUAUUUCAAACAAAUCUGCUCUCCAAUAUUCAAAGACAGACUUUUAUUCAACACUGUCCAAAGAUCUACAUUUUCUUACCAAACAAUUUGACUUUUGAGUGUUGUACUCAAAGAGUCUUCAGUAGCAAAUAAACAAUCCAACAAGUACCAUAUACUCUUAAGUAUUUUUCACUACCUCACUUUUAUCAAUACAAAACUAUUUUACUACUCAACAAGUGCAAAAACAGAAAAUUUAACAUUUUAAACUUCAAAAACUAAUGCUAAAAUAAUUAAUAAUAGACAAAAUAAAAUCUGAAAAAAAUAAAAAUAAAAUAAAAAAUCAGCCACGAAAAAUAAUAGGAUUUUUACCAUUUUAUAAUUCAAGUGGCCGAAAAAUGGUGGUAUGCCAAAAGAGGGUGUUCGGGGAGGUCACCGGAAUUUGGCCGGAUUUUGAUCGCCGGAUUUUCAGGGUGAAAUUGGCAUCAAUAGCUAGGUCUUAACGAGCUCUAUCCAUUGAUGUAAGUAUUGUGGGGUGGUAGUGGUUGGAGCUUCAAGAAUUUGGGCAAAAAAGUGACGGAAAAGUUUCCUAGAUCUAAGAUUCAAGGAGUUUGAGGGAUUUUUGAAGGAUUUGAUUUGGAAAUAUGGAAGGAGGAAGUUGUGGAGAUUACAUGGUGUGAAUUUGGAGGUGUUUGGAGGUGGUCCGCCGGUGGCGGCGAUUUCCGGUCGGCGGCGGUGGACGGAGCUGGGGCGGCG